GACGAACGCUGGCGGCGUGCUUAACACAUGCAAGUCGAACGGAAAGGCCCCUUUGGGGGUACUCGAGUGGCGAACGGGGGAGUAACACGUGAGUAACCUUCCCUUGACUUCGGGAUAACUUCAGGAAACUGGGGCUAAUACCGGAUAGGAAUCCUUGCUGCAUGGUGGGGGUUGUAAAGCUUCGGCGGUUUUGGAUGGACUCGCGGCUUAUCAGCUUGUUGGUGGGGUAGUGGCUUACCAAGGCUUUGACGGGUAGCCGGCCUGAGAGGGCGACCGGCCACAUUGGGACUGAGAUACGGCCCAGACGCCUACGGGAGGCAGCAGUGGGGAAUAUUGCACAAUGGGCGGAAGCCGGAUGAAGCAACGCCGCGUGCGGGAGGACGGCCUUCGGGUUGUAAACCGCUUUCAGCAGGGGAGAAGCUUGUGGUGACGGUACCUGCAGAAGAAGCACCGGCUAACUACGUG
rnacentral:rRNA from 1 species